CGAACUGGAUGUUGGGUGCAAUUUGGCACGCAGUAUCGAAGCUAACGCGUUAAGUUCGCCGCCUGGGGAGUACGGUCGCAAGACUGAAACUCAAAGGAAUUGACGGGGGCCCGCACAAGCGGUGGAGUAUGUGGUUUAAUUCGACGCAACGGGAAGAACCUUACCUGGCCUUGACAUGUCGAGAACUUUCCAGAGAUGGAUUGGUGCCUUCGGGAACUCGAACACAGGUGCUGCAUGGCUGUCGUCAGCUCGGGUCGUGAGAUGUUGGGUUAAGUCCCGCAACGAGCGCAACCCUUGUCCUUAGUUGCCAGCACGUCAUGGGGGUAACUCUAAGGAGACCGCGGGUGACAAACCGAAGAAAGGGGCGGAUGACGUCAAGUCAUCAUGGCCCUUACGGCCAGGGCUACACACGUCCUACAAUGGUAGGUACAGAGGGCUGCAAGCCGGCGACGCUAAGCCAAUCAAAGAAACCCUAUCUCAGUCCGGAUUGAAGUCUGCAACUCGACUCCAUGAAGUCGGAAUCGCUAGAACUCGCAGAUCAGCAUUCGCUGCGGUGAAUACGUUCCCGGUCCUGGUACACACCGCCCGUCACACCAUGGAAGUUUGUUGCACCAGAAGAAGGUAGCUUAACCUUCGGGGAGGGCGCUUGCCACGGUGUGGCGAGGACUGGGGAGAGUCGUACCAGGUAU
rnacentral:rRNA from 1 species